CGCAUCUGUGCAUGCAGCAUAUCAAUAAGCGGAGGAAAAGAAACUAACAAGGAUUCCCCUAGUAACGGCGAGUGAAGCGGGAAGAGCUCAAAUUUGAAAUCUUAAAGGGUUUCCCUUUACGAAUUGUAGUUUAAAGAAGUGUUUUCUGUUGAGGUUUUGGUAAAAGUUCUUUGGAAUAGGACAUCAUAGAGGGUGAGAAUCCCGUAUUUGACCUUUACUUUCAACUUUGUGAUACACUUUCAAAGAGUCGGAUUGUUUGGGAAUGCAGUCCAAAAUGGGUGGUAAAUUUCAUCUAAAGCUAAAUAUUGGCGAGAGACCGAUAGCGAACAAGUACCGUGAGGGAAAGAUGAAAAGAACUUUGAAAAGAGAGUUAAACAGUACGUGAAAUUGUCAAAAGGGAAGCGUUUGACACCAGUGUUGUUUUUCUGAAAAUCAAUUAAAGAACUGUUUAUGCUAAGCUGUUUAGACUUUAUCAGCUAACUGUUUAGUUUUGAGCUUUUCUUUAAUGCACUUUUCAGUUAACAAGUCAACAUCAAUUUCUUUUGCUGUAAAAAAGCUUGAGGAAGGUGGCUUGAGAUUCGUCUUAAGUGUUUAUAGCCUCUUGCCUAUGCAGUCGGAGAGAUUGAGGUCUGCAGCGUAGGAUCCUUCGGGGCUAAAUGCAUUUGUGCUAAGUUAUAGCAUUUUAUAGACAACUUGUUGACUAUGAUUUGUCUUGUAGCUUACUCGCUUAUGUUAUUUUACCUACGCUUAGGAUGUUGAGUCGUAGAGCACGCAG
rnacentral:rRNA from 1 species